ACCCAUUCCCAUUCCCUCCUAAGGUUUUUCCUCCAUUCCCACCUAAGGUCUUCCCUCCAAAAGUACCAAUCUUCAAGAAGCCUCUUCCUCCACCAGUGCCAAUCUACAAGAAACCUCUCCCUCCCCACAUCCCAGUGUACAAGAAGCCUCUUCCACCACCAAUCCCAGUAUACAAGAAGCCUCUUCCACCACCAGUCCCAAUAUACAAGAAGCCUCUUCCACCACCAAUCCCAGUAUACAAGAAGCCUCUUCCACCACCAGUCCCAGUAUACAAGAAGCCACUUCCACCACCAGUCCCAAUAUACAAAAAGCCACUUCCCCCACUAGUCCCAGUAUACAAAAAGCCUCUUCCCCCACCAAUUCCCAUAUACACAAAGCCAUUUCCACCACCAGUCCCAUUCUUUAAGCCAAAGCCAAAGCCACAUCCAUUCUUUAAGCCAAAGCCAAAGCCACAUCCAUUCUUUAAGCCUCACCCUCCACUGCCAAAGAUUCCUCAUCCAUUCUUUAAGC
rnacentral:lncRNA from 1 species